GAGUGAGCCUGCUCGCGAUAGCGGUGCAUCAGUUGCCAUUUAUGGUGAAUGGUAUACCGCUAUCGCGAGCAGGCUCACUC
rnacentral:misc_RNA from 1 species